rnacentral:tRNA from 2 species
GGUCACGUAGCUCAGCUGGAUAGAGCACCUGCCUUCUAAGCAGGCGGUCACAGGUUCGAAUCCUGUCGUGAUCA